rnacentral:rRNA from 1 species
UGGGGAAUAUUGGACAAUGGGCGCAAGCCUGAUCCAGCGACGCCGCGUGGGUGAUUAAGGCCUUCGGGUUGUAAAGCCCUUUCAGUAGGAAAGAUGAUGACGGUACCUACAGAAGAAGCUCCGGCUAACUUCGUGCCAGCAGCCGCGGUAAUACGAAGGGAGCUAGCGUUACUCGGAAUUAUUGGGCGUAAAGCGUGCGUAGGCUGCUUUGCAAGUUGGAAGUGAAAGCCCAGGGCUCAACCUUGGAAUU